rnacentral:rRNA from 1 species
UGAGGAAUCUUGCGCAAUGGGCGAAAGCCUGACGCAGCGACGCCGCGUGGAGGAUGAAGGUCUUUGGAUUGUAAACUCCUGUUAAGUGGGAAGAAAGGCUUGUUUCUAAUAAAGACAAGUUAUGACGGUACCAUUAGAGAAAGCACCGGCUAAACUCGUGCCAGCAGCCGCGGUAAUACGAGUGGUGCAAGCGUUAUUCGGAAUAAUUGGGCGUAAAGGGUGCGUAGGCGGCAUAUUAAGUCAACUGUUAAAUUCCUCGGCCUAACCGAGGAUCUGCGGUAGAUACUGAUGUGCUAGAGGGUGGAAGAGAGAAGUGGAAUUCUCGGAGUAGCGGUAAAAUGCGUAGAUCUCGAGAGGAACACCAAUGGCGAAGGCAGCUUCUUGGUCCACACCUGACGCUGAGGCACGAAAGCGUGGGGAGCAAACAGGAUUAGAUACCCCCGUAGUCC